UGUGUAGGUGGCGCCGUAAGUCGGGUGUGAAAUUUCGGAGCUUAACUCCGAAACUGCAUUCGAUACUGCGGUGCUUGAGGACUGGAGAGGAGACUGGAAUUCAUGGUGUAGCAGUGAAAUGCGUAGAGAUCAUGAGGAAGACCAGUGGCGAAGGCGGGUCUCUGGACAGUUCCUGACACUGAGACACGAAGGCCAGGGGAGCAAACG
rnacentral:rRNA from 1 species